CUAAGAGUUUUCUAUUGGUUUAAUCUGUGUCCAUGGAAACAUGAGAUAUUACAAGUGCAUACCAUGCUGUACAAACUCCAAGUCAAACAUUGAAACAUAAAGUUCAAGUUAAAAUACAAUCUUUCAUUGUUAAGUAAAACAAUGAUUGGAAUGUAAGUAGAUGGUCCAUACAUUGCUCAACUUCUAAGAAAACAGAAACAGAGUUACAUCUCUAAUGAACUUAACUGUGCCAACAAAUAACACACAUUUGUCCCCAUCAUCAGUUCACUCCUAAUAAACCUUUAGUCAUUUAAAAACCGAUAAUUAU